GUGGCUCAGAUGUCAGGGGGCUGCAGGGCUGCAGGGCUUGUGGGCAGCUGGGGAUUUCUGUUUGGGAAGGAGGCUGAGAAGGGUCGGUUUGCCCACUAGGACUGCCGCUCUGGGGGAAAGCGGGGCUAGCUCCGUAAAAGGCACAGGCCCUCUUUCCUCCUUUUUCUCCAGCAGGUCCAAAAAGAAAGGGCCUAGAAAAAGAUGUCUGUUAGGCACUUGGAAAUGACUAUUCAGAAAAGAUGGGGAGGCACAGUAUAAUAAAAGGGUUUCACACCCCACCAAUCCCCUUCCCUUGAAGAAUAGAAAGAGAAAGCAGCCCAUCCAGGGCCAAACCCCGGGGGCUAAUAAGAUCUAUGAAAGCUGUCCUGCCCAAAAUGCAGUCUGUGUGGGAGUUUGUGAAAAGCGACUUUGCCGAGGGCAAACCUUAGACGGAGAAACAGAAAAUACUUCGAAAAAAUCACAGGAUGCUCCUCCAGCUCUCUUCCAGGAUAAACUUGUCUCGGGAAAAUAAAACUUGAUAAACCCUGGUUCCAGACUGUUACUUAGUUUACAGCCCUAGGUUUGCAAUCCAUCAUCGCUUGGGCCUAACAGGACUGACUGGGGCUUUUCAUUUGUUUAUAGUUUGCGCAGUGCUUCAUGCCUCCAGCGUACCAUGUCAGCUAUGUAAAAUAAUGCGUGAUUUUUGUCCGGAUUCUGGAUCCACUUCCACCAUGGUAUUUGUUUAAAAUAAAAGCUGUGGUUAUUUUUCCAUUA